GGAUUAGUAGCUUAAUUGGUAAAGCUCCAGAUUGUCAUUCUGGAAAAUACAGGUUCAAUUCCUGUUUAGUCCG
rnacentral:tRNA from 1 species